UCACCGUCUGCGAUCCAAUACCAUCACAGCCUAUACAAUCAACUAAAGCAGGGGUACCCAACCUGUGGUCCAUAGACACCACGGUUAAUGGUAGGAGUCCAUGGCAAAAAACCCUCGAAAAGCAACUCAGCUGGAACAUCUGCAAUUGUCCAGCUGUUAUGAAUGCAUAGUUGGAAACUUGCUGGUCCUUUGGCUUACAAUUCAGAUGUAUUGCAAAC